UGGGAUGGAUUCGUGGAU
rnacentral:misc_RNA from 1 species